GCCUCCUCCUGAGAACUUGCUGCUCAGGUAAGAAGCGGCACUGCACGUGCUCACAGCCUGCGUUGCGAUUGGCUAUGGGCGACCAUAGCCCCGCCUCCACAUCCUUCGUUCCUCUCACAUGCUAGGUAAAUUCUCCUGCCUUGACUGACAGGAAUGGAGGCGGUGGGAGGGGGGCAGGGGAGGCAAAAGGGGCACCUCAGAGGGACGAGCUGCCCCAGCCAAAGGCUCAAUGGCCACCUGCCUGUGGCUCCUGCCUGUGUUUCGUUUCUGCCCUGGAGACUCUUGGCUGGGAGUUCAAAAGGGCAGAUUGGCUGGUUUCAGAUGGUGAAGAGAAGCAAGUCUGGGGAGAGUGCAAUUUCCAGUCCCUGGAAAUGGAAAUGGGAAGGUGGAAUGAAGUUAAGGCCCAGCAGGAGAGCGGACACAGAAAACCUUCCACGGCAGGGCCCUAGGCCCAGCCUCCUUUGGCCACCAGCUGCAGCUUGUCCUGGGACAUUGUGGUGAAGGGCAGAUACAGCCGGUUGGAAAAUUUUCAGAGGAGAAGAUUUCCCCAGUGGAAACAGGAAGGAUGUGGAGGGACGGAGGCCAAGAAAUCUAGCAAAUUUCAAAGAAGCUUGGGGCAAAAUGUGUGACAGUAAUCUUCACAACAACCUAGUAAACUUACUUCAGUUCAGACAUCUCUCUUUUAUGAGGAACCUGUGGUUUCCACCUUCUCCAUUUGCACACAUUGAAGCUUCAGUCCGGACAUGGAAUUGCCCAGGUGAGGUCUCUGUCCCUCUCUUUUAAAGGCAUCUGUAGCAUAUAGCAUCCAAUACUGGUUUCACACCGCCCAC